UGAAAGCAUUAGGGUGAAUUUUGUUUACUUGACAUUUAGGUGUAAAAUAAUACAUUUUAUAGAUAAUACUAAAAUUUACAACUUUCUGCUGGUUAGUUUUAGGACUUUAUCAAAGACAGCAAGAGUAAAUCAGUAAUGUUAACCCUGAUUAUGCAAAACUCUAAUACAUUGUUUUAAAUAACAACCAGAAAUAGGGAACUUCUUUCUCUUGAAGAAAAAACUACUGUUCCUCUCUCCUGUGGUUCUACAUAUUACUAAAUUUUGAAAUAUAAAUGUAAUUUUAAUUCUAAUGAGAGUACUCUCUGUAACAUAAAAAUACUGUGAAUACUGUUCUUGAAAUACCACAAUACAGAAGUAGAAUCUUUUUACGAAAUGCCAACCUAUAUCAUCAGAAUUUAUAUUGAAUACUUACUUGAAACAUUUAUAUAUUGAGAACCUUGAAAAAUGUAGCAUAUGUAGGUUAAUAAUAUUCCUGACAUUAUUAAUGAUACAUUAAUAUGUAUAUAAUAUUGGAAAUCACUAUCUUACUCUCCUUUGAAUAUGCACAGGAAG
rnacentral:lncRNA from 1 species